rnacentral:rRNA from 1 species
GAGUUUGAUCAUGGCUCAGAUUGAACGCUGGCGGCAUGCCUAACACAUGCAAGUCGAACGGGAGUAGCAAUACUCUAGUGGCGGACGGGUGAGGAAUACGUAGGAAUUUGCCCUUAAGUGGGGGAUAACCCGGGGAAACCCGGAUUAAUACCGCAUGAUCUCGAAAGAGCAAAGUGGGGGAUCGCAAGACCUCACGCUUUUGGAGAAGCCUACGUCGGAUUAGCUAGUUGGUGAGGUAAUGGCUCACCAAGGCGACGAUCCGUAACUGGUCUGAGAGGAUGAUCAGUCACACCGGAACUGAGACACGGUCCGGACUCCUACGGGAGGCAGCAGUGGGGAAUAUUGGACAAUGGGCGAAAGCCUGAUCCAGCAAUGCCGCGUGUGUGAAGAAGGCCUUCGGGUUGUAAAGCACUUUAGGUUGGGAAGAAAAAAUUCGGGCGAAUAUCCCGAGUCUUGACGGUACCGACAGAAUAAGCACCGGCUAACUCUGUGCCAGCAGCCGCGGUAAUACG